GUGGGCGCCUAGGCUGGGGCGGAGGGGCCUGCACCUCAUUACUGAGCUCUCUGACCACACCCGGAGCUUCUAUCUUUCUCCUGCACUUUCAGGGCCUAGGAGACCUUUGGCCUGCUGUUGCUCUUCAGAGGGGAUCCGAGAUGUCUAGUUUAGUGCCGGGCACAAGGGCUUUGCCCAUUAACACUGGUGAACUCAGCUGAGGCUCUUGGCCUCAGAGAACCGUAAGACAGUCAACCGAACGAUGGGGGAAGGCUUCAGCAGCAAACACAGGACCUCCAGGGUGAGUGUUGAGGUCUACAUGUAGGCCUCUGAGUCAGCAGAUACUCCAGCCGGGAAGGCCCAGGACAGCAGCCUCCUCACUGGGCCACAGAAUGGAGGCCUGUCCUGGGCCAACACUGCAUCCCAUGGAAGCAACCAACUGGAGAGGACAGAAGGAAAGGCAGGUCCCUGGCUCCUCAUCUCAUUUCCAGAGCCUUCUCCCCAGGGUCUGGCCAUCGUAGGACAUCCCUUGUGAGAGGAAGCCACUGGAAAGCAGCUGGGAGCCAGGCCCGCCUCACGUGCCCCUGGGGCUGUCUGCCUUGUUGUACUCGUUCAUCAGCUUCUCAUAAGGCACAGAGAGCUCUGACUCAGUGCUGGUGAAGGUGGACUCAUCCGAUGAAGGGAAUUCACCCGUGCUGCUCGAGGGCACCUCAGUCAUGGGCCCCGGCUGAGGCUGCUCCUUUGAGGUCAGGUUGUCCUCCACGGAAGACUUAGAGGUCUCCUCAUCAGAGAGGCCGGUUUCUUCGUUCUCAAAGGUGAUGUUGGCGUUUUGGAAAAUGAGCGGGUGGUAGUCCAGGGCUUCCCACGGCUCACCCUCCUCGCUGAUACGGUCCAGUUGGUUAAUAAACACUUCGGAGGUUGGGUAACCUUCCUUGGGGGUCUGUGCCGCAGCGUCCUCACCAAGUGGCCUUGACACGUGUCCUUUGUUUCUUAGAGUCUGAGAUACCUCUUCCAAACUGGGCACUCGAUUCUUGGAAUAGACCACCAAAGGUGCCAGGGAUGCAGGGAUGCUGGGAAGCUGAAGAUGUUGACGUCCUUGGAAGCCGUACUUCCGGCCAUCUGCAGGGCCUUCCGGGAGUGUGGGGAGCUCUCGAAGGAUUCCUUCCGCCGCCUCCUCCUCUUCUUGAUGGCUUUGUGUACUUCCACAAACAUGCUCACCUUCCAGUUGACAAAGAGGGACAGCCAAGCCAGCCCCAGGUAGAUCCAAAGCUCUACAAAGUAGCGGUAGAGGGCGUGGUAGUUGGCACUGGGGUUCACACCUGUAAAGACAAGAAGCCCAGAGGGUCAGCAAUGGCCGAAGCCGUGCUGUCUGAUAUAACACCAUGCAGCGCCCAGGUUCAAAAGAGGGCCUAGGAGCCAGGCACGGUGGUAUAUACCUUUAAUCCCAACAUUCGGGAGACAGGGGCAGGUAGAUAUCUGUGACUUUUGAGGCCAGCCUGGUCUACAAAGUGAGUCUAGGAUAGCCAGGGCUGUGAACACAGAGAAACCCUGCCUCAGGGAAGGAAGGACCUGGGAAAUCAACUGCUCAGGAGGUAAAAGUGCUUGUAAGACAAGGACUUGAGUUUCACCAUCAGAACCCACCUAAGGGCUGCAGUUGCCUUAACGGCUAAGAGCACUGGUUGUUCUCCCAGAUGGACCCCGGUUUGACUCCCAGCACCAUAUGGCUACUUACAAGCAUCGGUAACUCUAGUUCCAAGAGCUCUGACACCCUCUUUCUGGCCUCUUUGUGACACCGGGCACACAUGUGGCACACAGAUACACAUGCAGGCAAAACAUGCAUACACUUUUUUUUUCUAAAGAAUCCACAUAAAAGACCCAACAUAAUAGAAUGAGGUUUAAUUCCGGUGCUGGGGUGUUGAAGAGGGGGUGCUUACUGCCCAAUCGCCUCGUCUAAUAGGUGAGCCCCCAGCUAACAAGAAUCUGUCUCAAAACAAACAAACAAACAAACAAAACAAAAAAACCCAAGGUUAGAUGGCUUUUAAACAAUGACACCUGGCGUUGACUUUACAUAUCUAAGCAGGCACUCACGCAUGCACGCACGCACUCGAGGCCUAGAACGUCCUCACCUAUCUCCUUCCUAAAGGACUGUGGCUCUAGCCCACCUUUGAGCCGCAGUUUCUCCAACUGCACAAAGUCAGAACCAAGGUUACUUAAGGGGUGAGGGGAGUUAAAGGGGCUCUUUGGGGCGACUGUUUAUUGAAUGACCAGCUUGCGAGCGUGCAUAUUUCUGCUCCGUUUUCUGUUCCUCUCAGAGAGUGAGUGCAUCAAGGCAGUUAAAAACGGAAUAAAAACUCAACAUUGGGGGUGCUGACGGCCUCGGCUCCGGGGAGGGACUAACAUUGGGGGUGCUGGCAGCCUCAGGCCCGGGGAGGGACUAACAGAUUUACUGUGAAUGAUGCCGUGGUUGGGUCGAGAUGACCCAGGAAGCACUGACUUGGCAAGAACCACUCUAAACUGUCUUUACCCUCCUCCAAGGUGGAACCCGCCUCCCUGUGUCAGCCGUCUUCAGCAUAGCCCUCUCUCUGGUUGUCCUCAGUGGCCCCACUCUCUGUAUGCCCCUCUGUGACUACAUGCUCCAGAAGUCAUUCCCGUCCUCGCCUCACAACUCCUGAGGUCCCUUUCUUUUCUAGAAUUAGGUAAGAUUCCCUUCACAGUCAGUCAGGCGACAUGGCUCAAUGGGCUGAAGGGGCUUGCUGCCAGGUCUGAGGACCUGAGUUUGCUCCCAGGAUACACACACACACACACACACACACACACACACACACACACACACACGGGGUGAAAGGAGAGAGAACCAACUCCUAAAAACUGUCCCCUGACCUCCACAUACGCUAAACCCCAAUGUACAAAUAAAUAAAACAGAUAAGCAAAAGUAACUGUAAAAA